AAUGGCCCUUUUUGACCCCAAAAUCCCAUUGACCCCAAAUCCCCAUUUCUGACCCCAAAAUCCCCCUUUUUCACCCCAAAAUCUCCCCAUUAUUGACCCCAAAAUCCCCCUUUUUCACCCCAAAAUCCCCAUUUCUGACCCCAAAAUCCCCCUUUUUCACCCCAAANNNNNNNNNNNNNNNNNNNNNNNNNCAGAAAUGAGUUGGGGUGCAGAAAUGGGGAGUGGUGUUGGUGAGGGGGAUUGUGGGUUGAAAAAGGGGGAUUUUGGGGGUCAAUGGGGUUUGGGGUGAAAAAGGGCGAUUUGGGUCAAGAAUGGGGAGUUGUUGGGGUGAAAAAAGGGGGAUUUGGGGUCAGAAAAAGGGAUUUUGGGUCAGAAAAUGGGGAUUGGGGUCAAAAGGGGAAUUUUGGGGUCAAUGGGUUGGGGUUGAAAAAGGGGAUUUUAGGUCAAUGGAUUUUGGGUGAAAAAGGGGGGAUUUUGGGGUCCAAACCAAGGGGAUUUUGGGGUCAGAAAUGGGGAUUUUUGAGGGUGAAUUUGGGUUUGAAAAAGGGGGGAUUUGGGGGUCAAUGGGUUGGGGUGAAAAAGGGGAUUUGGGUCAGA
rnacentral:lncRNA from 1 species